AUUGAACGCUGGCGGAAUGCUUUACACAUGCAAGUCGAGCGGCAGCGCGGGGGCAACCCUGGCGGCGAGCGGCGAACGGGUGAGUAAUACAUCGGAACGUGUCCUUAAGUGGGGGAUAGCUCGGCGAAAGCCGGAUUAAUACCGCAUAAGCUCUGAGGAGGAAAGCGGGGGCUCCGUAAGGACCUCGCGCUGUUGGAGCGGCCGAUGUCGGAUUAGCUAGUUGGUGGGGUAAAGGCCCACCAAGGCGACGAUCCGUAGCUGGUCUGAGAGGAUGAUCAGCCACACUGGAACUGAGACACGGUCCAGACUCCUACGGGAGGCAGCAGUGGGGAAUUUUGGACAAUGGGGCAACCCUGAUCCAGCCAUUCCGCGUGAGUGAAGAAGGCCUCGGUU
rnacentral:rRNA from 1 species